rnacentral:lncRNA from 1 species
CCAACAAAGCUCAUGUAUAGCUGCAUCCCUGCAGCCAGUACCUACAACUCGCAGCUGUUGACACCAUGCCCAAGAAAAAGGCUGAAGGAUGAAACAAGGUUAAGAACAGACCACAGAAAAGAUCCACAAGAUUGUCUGCUAGACCUCCUUCUCCAAAGCUAGAGCCCAAGCCAGAAAAGGCCCCUACAAAGAAGGGAGAAUGUUUAUAUAAAGAGAAAAAGAGAAAAACUUAUGUCGGCAAGGAUGGAAAUAACUUUGCAAUAAACAAAGAUGUCAAAACAGACCAAGCACAGAAAGUUAAAGGUGUUCUGAGAUGACAAGUGAAGUGUGUGCAUUUUU